UGGGGCGUAGCCAAGUGGUAAGGCACCGGUCUUUGGAACCGGCAUCCGUAGGUUCGAAUCCUCCCGCCCCAGCCA
rnacentral:tRNA from 1 species